AUGGCGGCGGCGACCUCCGGCGUCAGCAGGCUCAGCGCGGUGGCAGGCAACAACAACGGCGACGUCGGCCUCCAAGACUCCUGGCCUCUGUUGGAAUAUUUUCGGGCAUUGUCUCAUCAAUUUUACCGAACUCCUGAACACCAUAGAUUUGUGCGGCAACAGGUGGUCAAUCAGCACAGCCGUAUGUACAAGAAGCAGAGCGCAUCAGUUCAUGCUCGAGCCCCGAAGAAGGUAGCAAUGUUUGGGUUUUCCUCAAGGAUGUUGGACACUAUUUACAUUAUGUUAGAUGCAGAUAAUGUUGUUGAUUUACGAGAAUUAUUUAUUUACCUAGUGGAUCCCCAAUUAUAUAUUUGUCCCUAUCAAUGCAAAUGUUGA
rnacentral:rRNA from 1 species